rnacentral:rRNA from 1 species
AUACAGAGGGUGCGAGCGUUAAUCGGAAUUACUGGGCGUAAAGCGCGCGUAGGCGGCUUAUUAAGUCAGAUGUGAAAUCCCCGGGCUCAACCUGGGAACUGCAUCUGAUACUGGUAAGCUAGAGUUUUGGAGAGGGAAGUAGAAUUUCAGGUGUAGCGGUGAAAUGCAUAGAGAUCUGAAGGAAUACCAGUGGCGAAGGCGACUUCCUGGCCAAAAACUGACGCUGAGGUGCGAAAGCGUGGGUAGCAAACGGGAGUAGAUACCCUAGUAGUCC